AUUGAACGCUGGCGGCAGGCCAACACAUGCAAGUCGAGCGGAUGAAGGGAGCUUGCUCCUGGAUUCAGCGGCGGACGGGUGAGUAAUGCCUAGGAAUCUGCCUGGUAGUGGGGGAUAACGUCCGGAAAUGGGCGCUAAUACCGCAUACGUCCUGAGGGAGAAAGUGGGGGAUCUUCGGACCUCACGCUAUCAGAUGAGCCUAGGUCGGAUUAGCUAGUUGGUGGGGUAAAGGCCUACCAAGGCGACGAUCCGUAACUGGUCUGAGAGGAUGAUCAGUCACACUGGAACUGAGACACGGUCCAGACUCCUACGGGAGGCAGCAGUGGGGAAUAUUGGACAAUGGGCGAAAGCCUGAUCCAGCCAUGCCGCGUGUGUGAAGAAGGUCUUCGGAUUGUAAAGCACUUUAAGUUGGGAGGAAGGGCAGUAAGUUAAUACCUUGCUGUUUUGACGUUACCAACAGAAUAAGCACCGGCUAACUUCGUG
rnacentral:rRNA from 1 species